UACGGAGGGUGCGAGCGUUGUCCGGAAUCACUGGGUUUAAAGAGCGCGUAGGCGGCUUGAUGCGUCAGUGGUGAAAGUUUACCGCUUAACUAUAGGAGUGCCUUCGAUACUGUCAGGCUUGAAAUUAGGAGAGGUUGGCGGAAUGUGAGAUGUAGCGGUGAAAUGCGUAGAUAUGACAUAGAACACCGAUUGCGAAGGCAGCUGGCUGACCUAUAUUUGACGCUGAGGCACGAAAGCGUGGGUAGCAAACAGG
rnacentral:rRNA from 1 species